CAUCAAUCUAGCGGGAGGGAAGGGAUAACCUGUCCGAGCGUAGCGCGACGCUAGGAUCGCGCCGGAAAACCCCCCAAAAAAUCAUCAAAAAAUUUAACUUAGACCAAAGGGCAGUCGGCGGGGCUUCGCCAGAUGCGGCGCAGUCGAUUCUAACUGUUAGAAGAGUACCAAUUCUGGAAAACAACCAAAGUUUCUUUGAAUGAAUGCCCACGUAAUGCAUUGGAAUAUAAUAAGAGAUUAAGGUUUAACAAUGUUAAAAUGAAGAUAUUACUAAAAUGGCCCUCUAAAUAGCCCAACAAUUAUUAUUUUCAUUAUCCUAUGAAUUUGGCUUUGAAAGGUGUGCUGCUCUUAAUAAGCUUUUCAUUCUGCUAGCCAUACUUUCUCUCCCUACUCUGGACUCUUCUAGAUGUCCCCAGCUGUGCUCUCCUUCAUAAUCUACAAACCCUCUCCUCAACCAUACUCUGGACCAGUCAUGUCCUCGUUUCAGACACUUAUUUUCUGGUAAGAAACUGAAUUCUUUCAAUGCAUGCUUCCUUAG
rnacentral:lncRNA from 1 species